AGGUGUCUCAGGCUGUCUGAUCCAAAAUUAAUCGUGUGGUCAAUUUUCCAUGACAAUUUGGUGGCCCAUACGGGGAUCCACAGAUGACUCCCCUGAACCGGAGGACCGCGGAAGGUCUCCUCCCAAGCCCUGGGCUCGCUUGAGAGAGGGGAAACUGGGCAAACACUGCAGC